CAUACUUUUUAUUUCUCAGCAGAAUUUGUCAAUAAUAAAGGAUGGUUUCUGAGAUAUAAUGGCAAUUUUUGGAUUAGUUUAUUUGAUACUUUAAUGCUAUCAGUCGAUAUUUAUUUUCUUUCGAGCGGUUGUUUAGUGACUUAUUUAUAUCUGAGAGAUAAAACUAAUAAAGAAUUGAUUAAGCCAAUUGGUUACAGAC